UACGUAGGGUGCGAGCGUUGUCCGGAAUUAUUGGGCGUAAAGAGCUCGUAGGCGGUCUGUCGCGUCGGAUGUGAAAACCCAGGGCUCAACCCUGGGCCUGCAUUCGAUACGGGCAGACUAGAGUAUGGCAGGGGAGACUGGAAUUCCUGGUGUAGCGGUGAAAUGCGCAGAUAUCAGGAGGAACACCGGUGGCGAAGGCGGGUCUCUGGGCCAAAACUGACGCUGAGGAGCGAAAGCGUGGGGAGCGAACAGG
rnacentral:rRNA from 1 species